CGGCACAGACUGCGUAUAGAGUGGGACGUUUUCGCGCGCAUUUUAUCGACCCGUUUCCUUCGACUGUUGUGUUAUUGUGGUGUUUUUAUUACGAAAAACAUAACGAAUAGUGCAAUAAGUCCCCUAAAAAUAACUAAAAAUUGUCUAUGAGUGAUUUUUGUAUAUAGUUUGAUAUGGUUUUUGAACUGUUGGUUAGUUUGAUUUAAAAAUCGUGUGGUUUAAUUGUUCGUGUACUAAAAUCGUGUUUUGGACGUAAAGUGAGAGUUUCGAUCAGAACAUGGUGUGAAAUCCGAAAACCAAGACACGGCGAAGACAAUCUGAAACCCCGACUCCGUACGAACGAACGACAUAAUAUUAUAGUAAACAAUAAUCUAACAAGCCUUAAAAUCCCCAAACAUGUGUUCAUAAUAACUAUAAACAUUGACCACAAAAAACAUAAGAACAAUUGAGUUUAAAGGUUGUAAAUAAUUUGCGAGUUAAAAAUUUUAACAAGAUAUAGGAAAAAAGAAUUUGUUUUUGAACGCAUCCGUGAUAAAGAUAACAAAAGAAAACAUUGAUAGUGAAGAUAAUAAUAAUGCGAAUUUGAAAUUCGAAUUUCGAGCGCGCGCGCACGAGCGAGACGGGCGAAUAAAGACAGAGAGCUGCGUCCAAAAAUAGUGCGUUCAGAAAUAGAACUGAAAAAAAUGUCCGGCCCAGACUCAGUAGAGGCGAACGAAGCGGCGGUCGUGAACGCCGCAUGGUGGGAAACACCAUGGAAAACUAUGGCUGACUUAGCCGAAGCGGUUGACGACCUUAUAUGCAGCUUUGAUUAUAUGGACACAGCCAUGGACAACCUAGUAAUGCUUAUAUUCAUAUGGGUACUGAUCUCUAUAAUCAUCCUUGGAGUGGCGAAAUGGGCGUACGGAAGAUUCAGCAAGAAGCCAGUCGAAGAAAAAGUCGACAAGCCAAAAGUAACGACAGAAGAGAAGAAGACGGCCAGCGAAAUUAUCACGAGCUCUGAUAGUGUUUUGGCUACUACAGCCAAAGUUACGUCCAAAUCUAGCUCCUUCAAACCGUCUAAGCCAACGAGCUUCGUCCCAGCAACGCCUCCGAAUAAGAAACGGCUAGGUCGUAUGUCUCCAGGACCUGAAACGUUAAACUUGAAGAAACACCAGAGCAUCAUCAUCCCGACAUGCACUGGUCCAGAUGCAGCGAGCGUACAGUGGGUUAACGAAACAUUGAUGUGGUUAUAUAAUGAUCUUGUUAUUGUGAAUGAACUUGUGCAGCAAUGGAUUGUGUCUAUGAACGAGUUCUCCAAGAAGUCAGUCGAGGAGCAAGGCAUCGGCGUGGAGCUGGUUCGCGCGCUGGACAGCAACCCUCCCAACGUCUCCAACGUGUUCUGCGAGUGUGAUUCCAAGGAUGACGUGACCAUAACGUGCGACUGCGAGGCGACACCAGCCUUCCAGCUAAAAGCCUUCAGCCAGCGAGGGGAGAAGGUGGAGGUGUCGCAUUACCGGGUUAAUGUUAACAAAUUCCGCGCUCGUCUCCACAUAGUAUGCAUAACAGAUAAACUAACAGGCGAGUUGAAAUGCGACGGCUGGCCCGACGUCAAGGUGGCUCUCGCGCCUGUGGGCCCUUUGAGGCAGAACGCCGACGAGGCAGAAAUGCAACAACUUAUAAGUGACAUAGUAGUAAGUGCUCUACGCAACACACAUCUUUACUUCAACUUCGCGCACUACCCAACUUGUCCACGCCUCAGACGAUAUGUGCCCGAGGCUGGCCCGCGGUUACCCGUCCACUACGAUUCUAUGCUAAACUCAGAGCGUCACAACAUGUACACUUCGACGCCCAACUCCACAGCCGGCUGUGUUCAACUGUUGGGGGACAAACGACUGCUGGUUAAGGUCGUAAGCGCUAGAGACUUGGGGGGCAAAUCCGGUUGUGUAGCACCUUACUGUGUGGUAGAAAUGGAUGAACCUCCACAGAAAAACCAGACUGCUUUCAAAAAGGAUACCAUCAAUCCACAGUGGGAGGAACACUUUCUAUUUGAUCUGUCACCACAAACCGCAGAACUGCUGUUCGAGGUGUACGACCGCACCGGCCCUCCCUCUCCCGGCAACACCACAACGCAACACAGGUUCCUAGGUCUAGGUCUGGUGGGCAUAGACGAGUUGCUGGCGGCUCCUUCUCAAAGACAACAGAUAGGGCUUCAGACCAGACCCAUGGAGGAACACGAUGUCAGCGGCAGCCUCACCGUCGAGUUCCUAUUCAUCGAGGGUGCAGACAUACCGGACCUGGGCUCAAAGCCGUUCAAAAUCAAGGAGAGUCUCCGCACCGUCACUCCUCAGGGUCGACUCACCACCACCACUAAGACCACCUUCCAACAGAAUGGUAAUCGUAUUGGUAACGACAGCAGCCAACUAACGGAGUCUGCCCUCCGUGAACUGGAACUCAGUCCCACCAGUGCGGCGAACAAGUCCACACUCAUCAUACACUCUGUGCAACGGGAGCCGACGAAAUCGAUUAAGGUGGAAAUCACCGACUCUGGCAAAUUUAUCGAAGUCGAGAGAGAAGCUGUAGAGAACAAUCUACCGGCCAUAGACAAGCAAGAGUUCAAAGAGCAAAAGAGUGUGACCCCUAACCAAUCCCCCGCCAAAAGUGUAAGGAUCAAGGAAAAUGGCGCUAAACCCAAUGGUGACAGCGAAGGGGUGAAACAAGGUGGCUACGUGCAGCAAGAAGCAACCCCUGAGCCUGCACCUAGACAAAAGAGAAAAAGGGACUUCUUUGGAACUAUCAAAAGAAGACUAGGCAGGUCGCGCACACGUGGCGCUUCCUUAGAUCUUCAGGACCAGGAUAUGGAGAACCAGCGUAUACGAAGUAUCAGUGCUGAAAGAAACAGCCAUGAAAAAGCUCUAACCAUGCCAAAUAGAAAUGUAUAUUCUGCGGGCGCGUCCCCCGCGCAGUCCGGAGAUGAAUCUAGAACCUCACGAAGAUCGUCCCUCAGCGAAGUCUCCGGAUUCAGUUCAGCAUCAGCGCGGACCUUCAUCCACGAGGCUUCGACCUUGGUCCUUGAGACCAUAGAAGCUGGAAUCAAGAAACAUUACUUGGUGCCUUUGACAGUUGCGCAGAGAUCAAGAUGGCGGCGAAAGGGCGUUAAAUUGCACAUUUUUAACGAGCAUACUUUCAUCGCUAAACAUAUUAGCGGUGGAACAGUAUGCGAGGUGUGCGGCAAAACAGUCGCGCGACGGCUCGGCAAGCAGGGCUACGAGUGCCGCGAUUGUGUGAUGAAGUGUCACAAGCAUUGCCACGUUCACACCAUGAAUAAUAUAAAUACGUCAUAGACUAACUUACUUCAGUAUUGUUUAAUUUAUUCCUUUCCGGAACGGACAAAUAUUACAGACCAUAAUAUAGCCUACUAACUCAAUGCAGACUAGCCAAUGCCACUGAGGCAAGUGUUUUUUUUUUAAUUAUUCAACCUCAUGAGGCAAAGAUCAUUCAGACUAAUAAAAUUAACAUGUAAAUAUGUUCCCCAGUGGAACAGUAUGCGAGGUGUGCGGCAAAACAGUCGCGCGACGGCUCGGCAAGCAGGGCUACGAGUGCCGCGAUUGUGUGAUGAAGUGUCACAAGCAUUGCCAUGUCAAGGUGGCCAACGCCUGCCCGAAGUCCACCGUGCACAAUAUGGAGCUAUCCAUGCUCCCAGUGCUAAGCGAAUAAUCAAGCUAAGAAGACUGCAAGAAAAAAAAUAUAAAAAAUAUAAAAAAAAUCGCAAGCUAUUCAGGUCCUUUGAAAAUACUAAAGGCUUACAUCACGUCUCCAUACACGGACAAAAACAUAAGAAUGUUGUGAUCUUCGGCUUAAUGCACAAAUUAAUAAAUAAUAUAUUACAAAUAAACUAAUUAUAAUUCGUCUGCUUAGAGUGUAAAUUUAUAAUUUUUAAGAAAUUAAAUGAUCAUAAUUUUUCACACCACGAUUAGAAGAAAAGGAAAUUUUUCCAUAAUUUUUGUUCCUCCCUAAAGAUGUUUUUUAAAACGGAAAUCAUACCAGAGUUUUAUUUUGUAAAAUUAUUCAAUGAAUUAAUUUUCGUUAAUUUAUUUUAAGUAUAUUAACUCAACAAUGAAAAUAGGCAGAUUGAAAUUCUGAAAGGUCUUAGGUUUGAAUCUCAUUCAGUUCAACAAUUCUUUCAAAGUUUUACCCUUAUUUGAGGGGAAAGGGAUGUUAGACAAUUUUGUACAAAAAAUUCUAAAAUGACACAAAAAUCCUAGAUUUUUUCCUUGUGAAUAUUACUUAUUUUAUAUCUAACGUAAUUUACUCUCUAAGCUAGCGAUAAUUAUAAAAAAAUAUACUUAAAUUAUUUAAAUUAAGAGUUAAGUACAACUUUCUCAUUAUGUACGCUACUUACUUAUAUUAUACAUAAAGGCUUUUUUUACAAAAAUAUAUUUAUGAUUGUAUGUAAAACGUUAUAUGAAAUUGUAUAUUAGUUGUAAGAAAAGUAGAAAUCCCAAUUUACCGUAGGGUUUUAUACGGACAAUCGAUUGUAAUGAAUAUCGAUAUGUUAAUCGAUUUUAUAGUUCUCAAUAACUUUCAAAUAAAUAAUUAAUGUUCCAUCAAUAUUUUAUAAGUGGCGCCAUGUAACCAUCUACUUUUUCACCAUUGGCGUAGUGGAGUCAAGUUAGUAACACCAGGUCCCGGGUUCGAUUCCGGCAUGUUCUCGAUGACAUCAAUCAGCGGAUACGCGAAAAGUUGUACUUCAUAUAAGCAAUAAGACACUGCCUACCAUUUACCAUUAAAAUGCAUAUACAUUCUAAGAGGAUUUUGAGAAUUGUUCGUAUAAACGCAAACUUUAAACAAAUUCUAAAAAAAACCGCUUUCUCUCACUAUUGGCGUAAAUGUUAGAUUAGUUUAGGAAUCGCUAGAACCCACCUUUAAAAACCAUUUCCAAACGCAUAAUUAUUCAUGUUACCAUAUUUAUUAAAAAAAAAAAAACUAAAUACGCCAAAGUUUAUAAAAAGGAGGAUUUAUUGAAAUCACUACCUCAUUAAUUCAACGUUACGACAAUAUUAUUAUGU